rnacentral:rRNA from 1 species
UGGGGAAUAUUGCACAAUGGGGGAAACCCUGAUGCAGCGACGCCGCGUGGAGGAAGAAGGCCCUCGGGUUGUAAACUCCUGUCUUUGGGGACGAUAAUGACGGUACCCAAGGAGGAAGCCACGGCUAACUACGUGCCAGCAGCCGCGGUAAAACGUAGGUGGCAAGCGUUGUCCGGAAUUACUGGGUGUAAAGGGAGCGCAGGCGGAGCGGCAAGUUGGAGGUGAAAACCCAUGGGGCUCAACCCAUGAAUUGCCUUCAAAACUGUCGGUCUUGAGUGGUGUAGAGGUAAGCGGAAUUCCCGGUGUAGCGGUGGAAUGCGUAGAUAUCGGGAGGAACACCAGUGGCGAAGGCGGCUUACUGGGCACUAACUGACGCUGAGGCUCGAAAGCAUGGGUAGCAAACAGGAUUAGAUACCC